rnacentral:rRNA from 1 species
UACGGGGGGGCAAGCGUUGUUCGGAAUUACUGGGCGUAAAGGGCGCGUAGGCGGCCUUCUAAGUCGGACGUGAAAUCCCUCGGCUUAACCGAGGAACUGCGUCCGAUACUGAAAGGCUUGAAUCCGGGAGAGGGAUGUGGAAUUCCAGGUGUAGCGGUGAAAUGCGUAGAUAUCUGGAGGAACACCGGUGGCGAAGGCGGCAUCCUGGACCGGUAUUGACGCUGAGGCGCGAAAGCUAGGGGAGCAAACGGG